UGAAACUACUUGACUUGUCGCCUGGAGCAGUUCAACURGAUUGUUCCURUAGAGGAAAGCUGUGGUGUAUUUGUUAGUCCGUUUUGGAGCUAUUUAAGUCUAACUAUGUCUGUUAAAGUGCACGUCGUUUACUGAGGAGGAUGAGGGUACAAACCGAGGUAUGAGUCAUUAAAAGAUGAUCUCAUUCAAGAGUUUGGUAAUGCCAUUGAAGUGGAUUACUAUGCCACUCCAAAUAUUACAGGAUACUUUGAAGUCGAAGUCAAUGGGAAGCUUGUUCAUUCUAAGAAGAAUGGCGAUGGAUAUGUCAACAGAAGUAAUGUUGGAAAGAUCUUUGCAGCCAUCCGUGAGGCCUCUCAUUAAGCGGGCUCAACAGGGGCACAGGGUUUGUUAAGCUGCUGGAAGUCUAGACUCAGUUUAUGUUGCACUAUGAUGGAGUUGGUUCAAACACUAAAGUGAUGCCAAAUCUUGAUGUCAAGUGACGUCAUCUGAUGAAAACUACCCAAGCAAGCUAACAGACCCUUCYAUAUUACUUAUCCAUUAGUUGAUUUAUUUAUAAAUGCACUAUUUAAAGGAUAUAUAUUAUUCGGUUUUUUGAAUUUUUUUAAAUAUUGUUUUUCUUUUUGCACGGUUGACUAUUCUUAAAAUUCCAGUAUAAGAAUCGAAAACAAUGGAAUAAACACUYAAUUUACACAGAUUCGAUGAUAUUGCCGCCUGUAAUGGAAUCUUAAAAAUAGUCAACAACAGUUCAGCACAAAGACGCUAUGAAGACUUUGAUAAAAACCAUUAGAAUACAAAUGAAAGGUAGUCUAUGAUUGCAUGUGGCUAGCUGCACGUAUAUGCCUGAUAAAGCAGGGAUUCUGGCGUCAUGCGCAAGAAAAUUAUGAAAAUUAUACAAAAAUGCGCUAAAACAAGGUGAAAUUAUGCGCUAAAAAAACCUUUUUUUAUUAUGACUGAUUUUAUAAUAUACAGAUAACUUUUAGGCUUUUUCAGUUACACUUUCUUCGCUAUUUCGUAACCAAUCAAUCAAAAGUGUUUGCCUUAGUCUUCUCGCUCAUUUCGCCAGGAACGCCGUGCCAUGUCUGGCCUGAAAAGUUUACUAAGUUUAUUUUAUUUCUUUUCAAUAGGCAAUGUGCAGCGACGCCAUUUUGUGAAUCAAUCAAAAGUGUUUGCCUUAGUCUUCUCGCUCAUUUCGCCAGGAACGCCGUGCCAUGUCUGGCCUGAAAAGUUUACUAAGUUAACUUGAUUUCUUUUCAAUAGGCAAUGUGCAGCGACGCCAUUUUGUGCAGGAAAGAAUGGUGGUAGUUGUAGUCCUGGUAAUUUAUUUAAUUACCAUCAUGCUUUGCUGCAUAAAAUGGUGUCGCUGCACACUGCCUACUCCAUUGUCGGGUUUCAAGUCUAGUGGGGACUGGUCAAAAUCCCCUAAUUGGAUAAUCAUGAGAUAAGACUUGCAUAGAAAGCCCUUGUUGAGAAAUGCAAAAUUCCAAAAUUUGAUGCAAAUCAGUGCAAUAGUGAACGAGUUACGGCCUUUCAAAUAUUCGAAAAUUUCCAAAGAAAUGUAUGGGAAGCCGUGAAUGUGUCCGCAUUUUGACCAUUUUCCGGACACAUUCACGAGAUCACAUACAAAUUUUAGAAUGUUUGAAAGGCUGUAACUCGUUCACUAUUGAACUGAUUUGCAUCAAAUUUUGGAAUUUUGCAUUUCUCAACAAGGGCUUUCUAUGCAAGUCUUAUCUCAUGAUUAUCCAAUUAGGGGAU